UGGGGAAUCUUGGACAAUGGGCGCAAGCCUGAUCCAGCCAUGCCGCGUGAGUGAAGAAGGUCUUCGGAUUGUAAAGCUCUUUUGCCAGGGACGAUAAUGACGGUACCUGGAGAAUAAGCCCCGGCAAACUUCGUGCCAGCAGCCGCGGUAAUACGAAGGGGGCUAGCGUUGUUCGGAAUUACUGGGCGUAAAGCGCACGUAGGCGGGUGGUUUAGUCAGGGGUGAAAUCCCGGAGCUCAACUCCGGAACUGCCUUUGAUACUGGCCAUCUAGAGAUCGGAAGAGGUGAGUGGAAUUCCCAGUGUAGAGGUGAAAUUCGUAGAUAUUGGGAAGAACACCAGUGGCGAAGGCGGCUCACUGGUCCGAUACUGACGCUGAGGUGCGAAAGCGUGGGGAGCAAACA
rnacentral:rRNA from 1 species